AAGCAUAGUGAGAUAUGGGUCCAGCGCUAUAAGACCCUUAAGGUGACGCACCUUUAGCAUGCGCUUGCUAUCCUCACUUAAGUGCUUACCUUUUUUGAAGCACAAGGCACAAGUGGCAUAUGCCUAUUUAAAAUUAAUUUUUUUUAGAUCUUCUUGAAGGGUAUUAUGGCUUUUUUCCUUUUAGUUUAAAAGGUUUACUAUAAUCAACAUUUAUAGAUUCAUUAAAAAACUACAUGUCAGUCUUCUGGAGUGUGUCUUCUUUUUAAUUUGGUUGGCAGUUGCUAGAAUUUCAAACUUUUCUCCAAUCAGAAUGGCAUUUUUAACAUAACAGCAUAUGGAUGACUUUGUUUCCUUUGCAUUGGUUAUUGCACUAGUUUGUUAGCACAUUAAUUUAUUAAGUUACCGUUUUUAAAAAUUUUGCACCUUGAUCAAUAAGAUGAGCGCAUUUUUGGAGCUUUGUGCUUUACGCGGUGGAGAGACCUAUUGUUUUGAACCUGCCUUUUACUUUUGACUACCUUGCUUUUGGGAGAAAUUAUUGCUUUUUGGAAGAUAAAUUUAUGGGCUGAUGACAUUAGGCUUUGUCUUUAUCAGCAAUGUUGUUAAAUUACUCUUGCUGUGGCAUUUCCACAGACAAUGCCUAGAUUGAUUCUUUCACCCCUCAUUGGGAGCAACGUCAUCUAAUCUUGCCUAGGCCAGUUUAUGUGUUGUCAAUGGCUCAUUCUUUGUGUCUCCUUAGCACAGUGAUAAAGCUCAUUGUGUUAUAAUUCGCAAGAAGAUAAGUUCUCCUUUCUUAAUAUUGUAGGCAUCAUUCUAGAUGAGUGUUGCCACAUUUAAUGUGAUUAUGAUGUUAAAAAUAUUAUUGGAUAAGACCACUGCAAUUACCUUAUAUUUUGUAAUUUUUAAAUUACUUUCUUUUAUUGGGUCUGACAUAUACUUUAAUCAUCUGAAUUGCUAGUUUAAUUUGACCAAAUCCUUCUUAAAAAUAAAAAGGAAAAUAUUGAUUCUUUAGUUUCUAUCAUGUAGUUAUAAUUCCCUAAUACAAGAAUUUAAUUAAAAUCCUAAUGUUCUGCCCAAAAUUUUUUUCUUUAAUUUGCUUAAGCCCUAAAUUUUUAUCACUAAAAUUUUGAAUUACAGAUUUUAUUUGAUCUAAUACUGAACAAAAGCAAUUAAAUUUCACAUAAGAUUCAUUAAAUAAUAUUAUUCAAAGAUAUUACUAGGUUUAACAAACAAACAAUAAGCUUCGAGUUUUAAACAUGGAAAACCCGCCACUGAUUAAAAGCUAAGCUGAUUUGAGUUCCAAAUCAAUAUAUUACCCAAGUUCUGUCAUUUUUUGAUGCUUGCGUAGAGGACAUGAAUUAACUUUUUUCCUGUGAUGUGAAUCGCUACUAAUUACAUUUUAUGCUUCCAGACUAUGUUCCAUAAGAGGGAGCCAUAGGGGGAAAGUGAAUGAUGUAAGACCUAACAUCAUGGAACUGUUGUCCAUUUGGUCAACUUUGAAAUUUGAAUUCUUGGAUUGCUUUCUUGGUUUCUUUCAAAUUUAUGCUC
rnacentral:misc_RNA from 1 species